rnacentral:rRNA from 1 species
UAGGGAAUCUUCGCCAAUGGGGGGAACCCUGACCGAGCAACGCCGCGUGAGUGAAGAAGGUUUUCGGAUUGUAAAGCUCUGUUGUUAAGGAAGAACGAGUGUGAGAAUGGAAAGUUCAUACUGUGACGGUACUUAACCAGAAAGGGACGGCUAACUACGUGCCAGCAGCCGCGGUAAUACGUAGGUCCCGAGCGUUGUCCGGAUUUAUUGGGCGUAAAGCGAGCGCAGGCGGUUAGAUAAGUCUGAAGUUAAAGGCAGUGGCUCAACCAUUGUAGGCUUUGGAAACUGUUUAACUUGAGUGCAGAAGGGGAGAGUGGAAUUCCAUGUGUAGCGGUGAAAUGCGUAGAUAUAUGGAGGAACACCGGUGGCGAAAGCGGCUCUCUGGUCUGUAACUGACGCUGAGGCUCGAAAGCGUGGGGAGCGAACAGG